rnacentral:sRNA from 1 species
ACUGAGAGAUGGCUAUUACAUCCAAGGUAGGCAUUUGUAACUUGCUGAACAGUUUUUGAGAGGUUUUGUGUACUUCAGUCUUCAAGGUUAUAGAAAAUCAGGUCUAUUCCAACAAAUAGUGUCAUUUUUGGGUUAAAAAAAGACGUGGACUUCAGGGAGUUGACCACCAUUUUGGUGGCAGAGAAAAUUUUAUUAAAGUUGUGUCAUUUGCAUGCUGUGUCAUGCUAGGCAUGGUUUAGAAAAAACUAUGACUUACACUGGGACUUAUAAGUCAUAUUUAAAACAAUAAUAAGCUGUUAACAGCAGUUUCAGUAUUUGGAAACUUAGGUUCAUGUAUGUAUUUUGGUGUGGUGAUCAAUGAGUGUUUCUAGUGUAUUAGAAAACAAUAAACACCAGAUACUAGACCAGAGGAGAUAGGAGAUCUUAACAAGUGUUAUACAAGACUAACGGAUUUCUUGUUAAAUUGUUUGUACUAAGUUAUUGUGCAGAGUAUUUUUCUCAAACAGUUUGAUUUAAAAAUUGCAAAGAAAAUGUUCAUUGUACCAAAAAGAGAAAUAAAGAAAAUACUCAUCUCUCUUGGAACCUCACGUUGCUGAUAACACAUUAUCUGGAAUCAUUCCAUGCCUUUUGCUUUCCUUGAGCAUGUACACAUAAACACAAGAAUUUCCCCCAAAAGAAUCCUUUAACCAAAAAGUUGUGGUUUCUUGCCUUACUAACUGUGCCAUAGUUAUUCCUGCAGGUGAAUAUGUAGACUUUAUCUGGGUUAUUUAUUUAAUUUUUUUUUGAGACAGGGUUUCGCUCUGUUGCCCAACCUGGAGUGCAGCUUCCGCCUCCUAAGCUCAAGCCAUCCUCUUACCUCAGCCUCCUGAGUAGCUGGGACUACAGGCACAUGCCACUAUGCCUGAUUAAUUUUUGUAUUUUUUUGUAGAGAUGGGGAUUCACCAUGUUGCCCAUGCUGGUCUGGAACUCAUGAGCUCAGGUGAUCCACCCACCUCAGCCUCUCAGAGUGCUGGGAUUACAGGCGUGAGCCACAUUGCUUGGCCUAUCUGGAUUUUUUAAGACAGGAAUAAUGUUUUCUAGCAUAGUCGGCCAUUUAAAGACCUUCUGAAAAAUGUAUUUCCAGGCCCUACCCUCAGAAUAUGGCAGCUUGGUUAUCCAGACUCUCAUUUAGCAUUAAUUACUUCAGAUACUUUUUUGGGAUGAGGGGAGUAUUAAUGGUGGAGUAUAUCAGGGAGAUUUGAUAGGGUCAGCUCAUUUCUUUUAGGAGGAAUUGUGUAUUAACAUUUUUAGAAUUGACAGAGACCUUGAAAGUGAGGGGAGAGAUAUAGAUGACUCGUUGAGGUCUAAGACUAUAACUAGUUGAAUACUAGCCUAUGGUUCUUAGCAUUCUUCACUUGUGCAGUAAACUGAGUGUACUAAUUACCACAAAUGUUUCUUUCAGCCCAGUGUGCCAUCAUAAUGUUUGAUGUAACAUCGAGAGUUACUUACAAGAAUGUGCCUAACUGGCAUAGAGAUCUGGUACGAGUGUGUGAAAACAUCCCCAUUGUGUUGUGUGGCAACAAAGUGGAUAUUAAGGACAGGAAAGUGAAGGCAAAAUCCAUUGUCUUCCACCGAAAGAAGAAUCUUCAGUACUACGACAUUUCUGCCAAAAGUAACU